GACGAACGCUGGCGGCGUGCCUAAUACAUGCAAGUCGAGCGGACGGAUGGGAGCUUGCUCCCAGACCGUCAGCGGCGGACGGGUGAGUAACACGUGGGCAACCUGCCUGUAAGACUGGGAUAACUCCGGGAAACCGGGGCUAAUACCGGAUAACUCUUUCCCUCACAUGAGGGAAAGCUGAAAGAUGGCAUCUCGCUAUCACUUACAGAUGGGCCCGCGGCGCAUUAGCUAGUUGGUGAGGUAACGGCUCACCAAGGCGACGAUGCGUAGCCGACCUGAAAGGGUGAUCGGCCACACUGGGACUGAGACACGGCCCAGACUCCUACGGGAGGCAGCAGUAGGGAAUCUUCCGCAAUGGACGAAAGUCUGACGGAGCAACGCCGCGUGAGUGAUGAAGGUUUUCGGAUCGUAAAACUCUGUUGUCAGGGAAGAACAAGUACCGGAGUAACUGCCGGUACCUUGACGGUACCUGACCAGAAAGCCACGGCUAACUACGUG
rnacentral:rRNA from 1 species